CCUACGGGGGGCAGCAGUGAGGAAUAUUGGUCAAUGGGCGCGAGCCUGAUCCAGCCAAGUAGCGUGAAGGAUGACUGCCCUACGGGUUGUAAACUUCUUUUAUAAAGGAAUAAAGUGAGGCACGUGUGCCUUUUUGUAUGUACUUUAUGACUAAGGAUCGGCUAACUCCGUGCCAGCAGCCGCGGUAAUACGGAGGAUCCGAGCGUUAUCCGGAUUUAUUGGGUUUAAAGGGAGCGUAGAUGGGUUGUUAAGUCAGUUGUGAAAGUUUGCGGCUCAACCGUAAAAUUGCAAUUGAUACUGGCAGUCUUGAGUACAGUUGAGGUAGGCGGAAUUCGUGGUGUAGCGGUGAAAUGCUUAGAUAUCACGAAGAACUCCGAUUGCGAAGGCAGCUUACUAAACUGCCACUGACAUUGAUGCUCGAAAGUGUGGGUAUCAAACAGGAUUAGAUACCCGAGUAGUC
rnacentral:rRNA from 1 species